rnacentral:rRNA from 1 species
AUUGAACGCUGGCGGCAUGCUUUACACAUGCAAGUCGAACGGCAGCGGGGGCGUUCGGCCUGCCGGCGAGUGGCGAACGGGUGAGUAAUGCAUCGGAACGUGCCCAUGUCGUGGGGGAGUAACGUAGCGAAAGCUACGCUAAUACCGCAUACGUCCUGAGGGAGAAAGCGGGGGGAGUCUUUGGACCUCGCGCGAUUGGAGCGGCCGAUGUCGGAUUAGCUAGUAGGUGAGGUAAAGGCUCACCUAGGCGACGAUCCGUAGCGGGUCGUGAGAGGAUGAUCCGCCACACUGGGACUGAGACACGGCCCAGACUCCUACGGGAGGCAGCAGUGGGGAAUUUUGGACAAAUGGGGGCGAACCCUGAUCCAGCCACGCCG